rnacentral:rRNA from 1 species
GAUGAACGCUGGCGGCGUGCCUAAUACAUGCAAGUCGAGCGAACAGAUGAGGAGCUUGCUCCUCUGACGUUAGCGGCGGACGGGUGAGUAACACGUGGAUAACCUACCUAUAAGACUGGGAUAACUUCGGGAAACCGGCGCUAAUACCGGAUAAUAUAUUGAACCGCAUGGUUCAAUAGUGAAAUACGGUUUUGCUGUCACUUAUAGAUGGAUCCGCGCCGCAUUAGCUAGUUGGUAAGGUAACGGCUUACCAAGGCAACGAUGCGUAGCCGACCUGAGAGGGUGGUCGGCCACACUGGAACUGAGACGCGGUCCAGACGCCUAAGGGAGGCAGCAGUAGGGAAUCUUCCGCAAUGGGCGAAAGCCUGACGGAGCAACGCCGCGUGAGUGAUGAAGGUCUUCGGAUCGUAAAACUCUGUUAUUAGGGAAGAACAAAUGUGUAAGUAACUAUGCACGUCUUGACGGUACCUAAUCAGAAAGCCACGGCUAACUACGUG